rnacentral:rRNA from 1 species
UGGGGAAUUUGGACAAUGGGCGAAAGCCUGAUCCAGCAAUGCCGCGUGUGUGAAGAAGGCCUUCGGGUUGUAAAGCACUUUUGUCCGGAAAGAAAUCCUUGGCUCUAAUACAGUCGGGGGAUGACGGUACCGGAAGAAUAAGCACCGGCUAACUACGUGCCAGCAGCCGCGGUAAUACGUAGGGUGCAAGCGUUAAUCGGAAUUACUGGGCGUAAAGCGUGCGCAGGCGGUUUGCUAAGACCGAUGUGAAAUCCCCGGGCUCAACCUGGGAACUGCAUUGGUGACUGGCAGGCUAGAGUAUGGCAGAGGGGGGUAGAAUUCCACGUGUAGCAGUGAAAUGCGUAGAGAUGUGGAGUAAUACCGAUGGCGAAGGCAGCCCCCUGGGCAAAUACUGACGCUCAUGCACGAAAGCGUGGGGAGCAAACAGGAUUAGAUACCCUGGUAGUCCACGCCCUAAACGAUGUCAACUAGUUGUUGGGGAUUCAUUUCCUUAGUAACGUAGCUAACGCGUGAAGUUGACCGCCUGGGGAGUACGGUCGCAAGAUUAAAACUUAAAUGAAUUGACGGGGUCAUAGCUGUUUCCU